rnacentral:pre_miRNA from 1 species
UAUACAAGUGGACCGUCGGUCUACCGAGCAAUAUCAUCCGCGCGGUGGAAGAUCUUCCCUUUGUCGU